rnacentral:lncRNA from 1 species
GAAGGAUGUUUCCCCUUUCCAGCCAGAGGAAACAUAUUUGCAAAGAAAAUGAACCCCCAAAGGAAAUUCCUCUUGCCUGGUACUUUUUUUUUUUUUUUUUUUUAAGCAAAAUUUGCUAGGGAGGGUCUCCACCCCACUGCUUUUACACAGUAGCAGCAAUCGCAAGCCCAUUUCCCUCAUGACGAAAUGACAGUACACUGUCUUUCUCCUCCAGGAUACUGAAUCUGUGAGAGCCUUGAAUCAACCAACCCAUCCACCAACAAACACCUGUAAAGUUUCCACCACAGUGCAGGUACCCUGGGAACAAGGCUGGGGAGGACCCCUCCUUCAUGGACAGAAAAUGCACUCAGCAGGUGUAAUGGGUUACACCACCUGGCAGAGAGCAUGCUGGCUUUCCUUCCUGGAUGACUUGGUUUGAAAGUCACUAAGUGGAGGUCCAGCAAGACAGCGCCCCCCACGUCCGGGACUGUGGGUGCAGGGUGUCGGAGCCCAGGAAAGACGAGGGCAGCAAGUGGGUCACUUACAGAGAACAUGUGAUAAGUAAACAUCUUGAAGAAAAUGGGAGCCAGGCUUCACACUGUCAGAGAAGGAAGUUACG